UAAGUCAGAUUUUUUAUUUGCAUCAUUUAACAAUAAACUAAUGUACCAAGUUCAACACUGUAACCAUCAUUAACAGGCACUAGAUUUAACAACACAUUUACAACUGCUAUUACAAAAUCAUUUCAUGCUACACAUUUUUUUUUCAUUUUCAAAAGCUAGAAACAGUAGAUCAAAACAAAGUAAAUUUAAUAUACACUAAGGUUUUAUCACCCCAAUUUCAAUUGACACCCUUAAAUACAGUGUAUGUUAAAAUAGGCUAAAACUUUAUAAAAGUUUUUCAUUUAACAUUUGAUCAUGGUUGUUUAAAAAAAAAAAAAAUCUUGAUGAAUAUGACAGAAUUUCAUGUGACUCUUCAAUGGAUAACAUUUUAAAAAUACACAC